GAAGCAGAGACCACUAGUCUGAGUGAACCUCUGAAGCUGGUAAUGACCACAGCUUAUGACAAACCCUUUCUCUCAAUCAUGCCAGGCACUGAGGUGGCAUCACGAGAGAAUAUGAAGUUGCAAUGUUUCUCAAAAUUUGAACUUGGUUUAUUUAUUCUCACCAAAUAAGAUGGAUUUCACACCACCAAGAACCAAAGGCAAUGAACAUCCCAGGGUAAUGAACACAAGGCUGUCUUCCUCAUGAACCGUGUCACCUCCACAUGGGCAGGGACCUACAGAUGCUUCAGUGUCAUCAGCAAUGACCCCAAUGUGUGGUCUCACCCCAGUGACCCUCUGGAGCUGGGGGUC
rnacentral:lncRNA from 1 species